GCCGGGCAUAGUGGUGCGCACCUGUAGUCCUGGUGGCUUGGGAGGCUGAGGCAGGAGGAUUGUGAAUUCAAGGUUCGCCUCAGCAACCUAGGGAGGCCGUAAGCAACUUAGCAAGACCCUGUCUCAA
rnacentral:sRNA from 1 species